rnacentral:rRNA from 1 species
UACGUAGGGUGCAAGCGUUAUUCGGAAUUACUGGGCGUAAAGCGUGCGCAGGCGGUGAUGUAAGUCAGAUGUGAAAUCCCCGGGCUCAACUUGGGAACUGCAUUUGUGACUGCAUCGCUGGAGUGCGGCAGAGGGGGAUGGAAUUCCGCGUGUAGCAGUGAAAUGCGUAGAUAUGCGGAGGAACACCGAUGGCGAAGGCAAUCCCCUGGGCCUGCACUGACGCUCAUGCACGAAAGCGUGGGGAGCAAACAGG